rnacentral:rRNA from 1 species
GACAGAGGUGCCGAGCGUUAGGCGGAAUCACUGGGCUUAAAGCGUGUGUAGGCGGGCGGGCAAGUACCUUGUGAAAUCCCACGGCUCAACCGUGGAACGGCUGGGUAUACUGCCUGUCUUGAGCCGACUAGGGGCGAGCGGAACAGACGGUGGAGCGGUGAAAUGCGUAGAUAUCGUCUGGAACGCCGAAGGUGAAAACAGCUCGCUGGGGUUGUGCUGACGCUGAGACACGAAAGCCAGGGGAGCGAACGGG